CAUGAUUUCUAUAUAAUCAUAUAUCCAUAUAUAACCAUAUAUCCUAGAGAUGAUUUUUAUGUACCCAUGUAUCCUGUUGUUGUUGUUGUUUAGUUGUGUCCGACUCUUCUUGACCCCAUGGACCAGAGCACGCCAGGCACUUCUGUCUUCCACUGCCUCCCGCAGUUUGGUCAAACUCAUGCUGGUAGCUUCGAGAACACUGUCCAACCAUCUCGUCCUCUGUCGUCCCCUUCUCCUUGUGCCCUCCAUCUUUCCCAACAUCAGGGUCUUUUCCAGGGAGUCUUCUCUUCUCAUGAGGUGGCCAAAGUACUGGAGCCUCAGCUUCACAAUCUGUCCUUCCAGUGAGCACUCAGGGCUGAUCUCCUUAAGAAUGGAUAGGUUUUAUCUUCUUGCAGUCCAUGGGACUCUCAAGAGCCUUGUCGUACUCAUCUCCCAAUUUUGAACCAAUCAGUUGUUCCAAAUCCAGUUCUGAUUGUAGCUUCUUGUCCCACAUAGAGAUUUAUCAGGAGACGGAUGAGGUGAUCAGGCACUCCCAUUUCUUUAAGAACUUGCCAUAGUAUCCUAAUGAUGCUUAAAAUCACUAAGGCUUCAGCAGAGCUAAAAGUGCUUAAAUCUCAAGAAUCCAAAGUUUCCCCUUUGCCCUCUUUCUCUCUGCCCUGCUAUUGCGCUUGAAGGAAACAAUAAAUCUGAUGUGUUGGCAUUUUUCUAUAGGGAACCUUCGCCAGACUGCUUCUCAUGUUCACGAGAUGGGGUGGGGGAGUGGUAUAGGAAAGAGCAGCCAGCCACAAUGCAAUGUUCUAAGUCAAUAACGGAUGGUGGGGGUUAUUCAGGCUUCAAUGGUCAAAUAGGUUUUCCUCUUUAUUGCUGAAAAUUGACGCACCAUUUAAGAAAAGCAGAAGUAUUCUUUACAUGGUCAGAGGAAGAGCUUGUGUGCGCUCAUUGGUUUGAUUUUUGCUGCAACAUACAAAUAUGUCAUGUUUUAUGCUGUUUGUACUCAGGUAUAAAACCCCAAUGCACAGGGGCUUCGGGGCCC
rnacentral:lncRNA from 1 species